rnacentral:lncRNA from 1 species
UGGUGAUGGUGAUGUGUAUAGUUCUAACACUUUUCAAUAGUGUUUAUUACCUGUUUUAUUUAGUUGCAUGUCUUGUUUUCUUUAAACUUUUUUUCUUUAUUUAUUAUGUUUUGUUUGUUUAGUUGAUUUUAAUUAUUUUGGUUCUAGAAUUAAUCUGUUGAUACCUGUACACAGCAGCCUACUAUAUCAGACCAGGCAUCAUCAUUCUAACCAAAAUGUAAUCAGAUUAGGG